rnacentral:rRNA from 1 species
AGGUGGGAGGCGUUGAUAUUAAGUUUUCGGACUUAAUGGAGCCANUCAGUGAGAGACCACUCUAAAAGAGCUAGAAUUCUAAUAGGAAUCNCUUGAAUCAGGAUCCUUGACAGUUUCAGAUGGACAGUUUGACUGGGGCGGUGACCUCCCAAAAGGUAACGGAGGUGUGCAAAGGUUCCCUCAAGCUGGACGGAAAUCAGCUGUAGAG